rnacentral:misc_RNA from 1 species
UCUCCGUAGGUGAACCUGCGGAGGGAUCAUUACAGAGUUCUCGCCCUCGCGGGUAGAUCCCCCACCCACUGUUAUCGUUACUGUGUUGCUUUGGCGGGCCGCCGGGCCCCGCUCGGCCGCCGGCUCCGGCUGGCGCGCGCCCGCCAGAGGCCCAGCAAACUCUGAAUGUUAGUGUCGUCUGAGUACUAUAUAAUAGUUAAAACUUUCAACAACGGAUCUCUUGGUUCUG